rfam:Actinomyces glycerinitolerans isolate G10_assembly1 genome assembly, contig: scaffold_09
CGGUUCCGGCAGCCAUAUCCCACAUACCAAGGCAGGAACGGGGGAACCAAAAGCGGCUCCGGCAUCGACUGGAGCCUUGGGGUGAAGCCCGCGUGAUGCGGGCCGGGCGUCUCCAGUCCGAACCCGACAGCUCACCUCGUCGGCAUCUCAGAGGAGAACC